CUGGUGAGAAAAUAUUUUAAUAGGAACAUGUCUGCUUUAAAUAUAACUUAGGUAGCACUACCUGUGAAGGAUAUACACCUCUUCUCCACAGUGUAAAUACCCAAGCAGAAGUUUUUAGUCUCUUCCUAUGAAUUUUUCUCUCAAUAUGAAUUUUUAAAAAAAGAUUGUGUAUGAUUUCCAAAUGUGGACAUUAUUUAUGCACUUAAUGUGGACAUCAGAUCAUUUAAAAUUAAGUUUGUUUCAUUAUCAUGAUAUAGGUUGCUAAAGAGAAUCUCCCUUUCAAAUAAAGUCAAUUUUUUAAAAAACAUUAGUGAACAGACUUAUGAAGUUUAUCUAAACACCUGCAGCGCCUGUUGUUGUAGCCAAUUCCUUCUGGGGGUCCUCUGAGUCAGGCCCACCAUGUGUCCGAUCCGAGUGUCCAGCCACCUGCUUGUCACAGUAGGUCUACACUGCCAGGCUUCAGCACUGUAAUUUUUAAUUUGCUUUUCACGAAGGACGUUUCUAGGACUCGCCAGACUGUAAGGCAACCUCAGUGCAGGAGUGAUCAUGACCCAGCUCACGCCUGUCUCGUCUAUCUUGCAGGCACUGCUGCUGUGUGUGUUACAUACGUGACCCUUGCAAGAACCCUUCUGCGGGGCUGUAGCUUU
rnacentral:lncRNA from 1 species